ACCUAGAGACCAAAGGUACAAAAAGGGGCAGGUAACCAAAACCUGGAUUGUAUAGGGAAGAGCUCCUGGACUGGACGGGAGAGGAUGGGGUAUGCUAGCCAUACCCUGUAACAGCUGUUCCUGUUCCCAUCAACCCCCAGGCCAGUUGCUAAGAAACCUCUCCUGGGAGCUCAGCAUCAUCCUCAUCCACAUGCAGGUGAAAUUGUUGGCCAUCUCUACACAUGCAGCUAUCGCUGCCUCCUCAUCCCUGAUCACAGCUGUCCUGGCAGCUUCGCGGGAACAAGACUGACUUGAUUGGCUCUGGGGGUCAGUUUUGGUAGCAGGCACCUCACUCGUGGAACUAUCUCACAGGCCCACCUGUUUUGAAUAAGAAAGAUUCCAGGUCCGGUAGGCAUAUGCUCUGGGAUCGAUUGGAGGAUAAAGGAGAAGCUAUUUAAACGCCUCAGCUAUCCGCCCGAUCCAUUCGGAUGCGGGCAUAUAAACAUCACCUGGCUGCCAGGGGGAACGGUCUCUGAGGACGCUG